AACGUAGGACACAAGGCGUUAUCCGGAGUUACUGGGCGUAAAGGGCGUGUAGGCGGACCUAUAAGUCUAUUCUGAAAGCUCCUGGCUAAACUGGGAGAGGCGAAUGGAGACUGUAGAUCUAGAGUGAGGAAGAGGAAAGUGGAAUUCCGCGUGUAGUGGUGAAAUGCGUAGAGAUGCGGAGGAACACCGGUGGCGAAGGCGGCCAACUGGACGAACACUGGACGCUGAGACAUCGAAAGCGUGGGGAGCAAAC
rnacentral:rRNA from 1 species